GUGAGGAAUUUUCCGCAAUGGGCGAAAGCCUGACGGAGCAAUGCCGCGUGAAGGAUGAAGGCCUAUGGGUUGUAAACUUCUUUUCUCAGAAAAGAAUUAUGACGGUAUCUGAGGAAUAAGCAUCGGCUAACUCUGUGUCAGCAGCCGCGGUAAGACAGAGGAUGCAAGCGUUAUCCGGAAUGAUUGGGCGUAAAGCGUCUGUAGGUUGUUUAAAAAGUAUUCUGUCAAAGAUUAGGGCUUAACCCUAGAUCGGCAGAAUAAACUUUUAAGCUAGAGUUUGGUAGAGGCAGAGGGAAUUCCCGGUGGAGCGGUGAAAUGCGUAGAGAUCGGGAGGAACACCAAAGGCGAAGGCACUCUGCUGGGCCAAUACUAACACUGAGAGACGAAAGCGAGGGGAGCAAAUGGGAUUAGAUACCCCGGUAGUCC
rnacentral:rRNA from 1 species